rnacentral:rRNA from 1 species
UACAGAGGGUGCAAGCGUUGUUCGGAAUUACUGGGCGUAAAGGGUUCGUAGGUGGCCUGCUAAGUCAGACGUGAAAUCCCUCAGCUUAACUGGGGAACUGCGUCUGAUACUGGUGGGCUUGAGUGCAGGAGAGGAACGCGGAAUUCCAGGUGUAGCGGUGAAAUGCGUAGAAUAUCUGGAGGAACACCGGUGGCGAAGGCGGCGUUCUGGACUGCAACUGACACUGAGGAACGAAAGCCAGGGGAGCAAACGGG